GACGAACGCUGGCGGCGUGCUUAACACAUGCAAGUCGAACGGAAAGGUCCUGCUUUUGUGGGGUGCUCGAGUGGCGAACGGGUGAGUAACACGUGAGUUACCUGCCCCUGACUUUGGGAUAACUUCAGAAAACUGGGUCUAAUACCGGAUAGGAGCUCCUGCUGCAUGGUGGGGGUUGGAAAGUUUCGGCGGUUGGGGAUGGACUCGCGGCUUAUCAGCUUGUUGGUUGGGUAGUGGCUUACCAAGGCUUUGACGGGUAGCCGGCCUGAGAGGGUGACCGGCCACAUUGGGACUGAGAUGCGGCCCGGACUCCUACGGGAGGCAGCAGUGGGGAAUAUUGCACAAUGGGCGGAAGCCUGAUGCAGCAACGCCGCGUGGGGGAUGAGGGCCUUCGGGUUGUAAACCGCUUUCGCCUGUGACGAAGCGUGAGUGACGGUAAUGGGUAAAGAAGCACCGGCUAACUACGUG
rnacentral:rRNA from 1 species